rnacentral:lncRNA from 1 species
CUAUAAACUUGCCAGCAUCUUAUGAUCUAAAAAGUUAUUUUUUAAUUUAUUUCUCACAGAACAAAACCUAUAUCUUCCAAUCUAAAAUUAGACUGUGAGACUGUCUUAUCCUGAAGCCAAUCAUAGGUUUCAAAAAACAAAAACUGUUUGCAGGACCUGAAGAGCUGUUGCACACUCUUGGUCUUCUCAGCUGUAUUUCUACAUUCUGGGGUCAAUAUGGAGCUCGUAUGCUAACAAUAUCUGUCAGGAUCUCAGGCCUAUGUGCAUGGUCCCAGGCUUACAAGGUUUCAGGGAUGAACAGCUGCUGGUUAAGUUGCAAUGUACCCAGGAGAAAUGAUGCUGGAAAACAACUACUUCUGCCUUCAUUGAGAUCUCUGUCAUCAGCUGCCAGACUUUGUAAAUGACCAAUCAGGCUUUAAAAGAUAACAUCUCAUCUGGAACAUUCCUGGGUAAAUAUGUAGCCCUCCCCAUUACAGUGUGAUUACCUCAAAUUAAAUUCUGCUUGUCUCCUGUCUUUGCAGCACUCAGUAAAAACCCUAAUGAAGAGCAAUGCUGAGAUUUUCAUUAGUGACUCUGAAGAAGAGCUUUGGCAAUAACACAACUGCCAUAAGGGUUCUUUCACCAUAGAUAUCAUAUGCAUAUGCCACAAGGAGAAUAAAAUAUCCUCUAAGGUCCUCUAAGGUCA